rnacentral:rRNA from 1 species
AUUGAACGCUGGCGGCAUGCCUUACACAUGCAAGUCGAACGGUAACGGGCCUUCGGGUGCCGACGAGUGGCGAACGGGUGAGUAAUGCAUCGGAACGUACCUUUCAGUGGGGGAUAACGUAGCGAAAGUUACGCUAAUACCGCAUAUUCUGUGAGCAGGAAAGCAGGGGAUAGCAAGACCUUGCGCUGAUUGAGCGGCCGAUGUCAGAUUAGCUAGUUGGUGAGGUAAAGGCUCACCAAGGCGACGAUCUGUAGCGGGUCGGAGAGGAUGAUCCGCCACACUGGAACUGAGACACGGUCCAGACUCCUACGGGAGGCAGCAGUGGGGAAUUUUGGACAAUGGGGGCAACCCUGAUCCAGCCAUGCCGCGUGAGUGAAGAAGGCCUUCGGGUUGUAAAGCUCUUUCGGCCGGGAAGAAAUCGUAUCAGCUAAUACCUGGUGCGGAUGACGGUACCGGCAUAAGAAGCACCGGCUAACUACGUGCCAGCAGCCGCGGUAACAC